UACGUAGGGGGCAAGCGUUGUCCGGAAUCAUUGGGCGUAAAGAGCGUGUAGGCGGCUCGGUAAGUCCGCUGUGAAAGUCCAGGGCUCAACUCUGGAAUUGCCUUUGAGACUGAGUGGCUUGAGUACGAGAGAGGUGAGUGGAAUUCCCAGUGUAGAGGUGAAAUUCGUAGAUAUUGGGAAGAACACCGGUGGCGAAGGCGGCUCACUGGCUCGUAACUGACGCUCAUGCACGACAGCGUGGGGAGCGAACAGG
rnacentral:rRNA from 1 species